CUGUUCUCCUACUAAUCUCACUGUAACCCCCUCCAGGUCUCUGUUCUCCUACUAAUCUCACUGUAACCUCUUCCAGGUCUCUGUUCUCCGACUAAUCUCACUGUAACCCCUCCAGGUCUCUGUUCUCCUACUAAUCUCAAUUCAACCCCCCUCCAGGUCUCUGUUCUCCUACUAAUCUCACUCUAACCCCCUCCAGGUCUCUGUUCUCCUACUAAUCUCACUGUAACCUCUUCCAGGUCUCUGUUCUCCGACUAAUCUCACUGUAACCCCCUCCAGGUCUCUGUUCUCCUACUAAUCUCACUGUAACCCCCCUCCAGGUCUCUGUUCUCAUACUAAUCUCAC
ensembl:lncRNA